rnacentral:rRNA from 1 species
UACGUAGGGUGCAAGCGUUACUCGGAAUUACUGGGCGUAAAGCGUGCGUAGGCGGUUCGUUAAGUCUGUCGUGAAAGCCCUGGGCUCAACCUGGGAAUUGCGAUGGAUACUGGCGAGCUAGAGUACGGUAGAGGAUGGUGGAAUUCCCGGUGUAGCGGUGAAAUGCGUAGAGAUCGGGAGGAACACCCGUGGCGAAGGCGGCCAUCUGGACCAGUACUGACGCUGAGGCACGAAAGCGUGGGGAGCAAACAGG